AUAGAGAGGUGUGGGAAAGAAUAGUGCCUUUCUGCUGCCUUUCUUCUAGCUUGAAACUGAGUCCUGGGAGGACAGGACAGCUGCCACACUAACCACCCCAUUGGGAAUGCUGGAGUAAGACCAUUUAACCUCCGCAAGAUUAAAGCUGUGAUUCAGUAGAAGGAGCACAGGAUUUGGAAGAACUACUACCCACCCAACUCUGCAACCGUCCAAACACCAUGCAAGUUGAGUACUAGCCCCGCACUUGAGAGAGUCGAUUAACCUGUUUGAGCGGUAGUUUCCUUGUACGUAAAGGCCUGCUGGACCUCUGGAACUGGUUUUGUGAGUCCGCGUUCAUUUUAAUUCCAUUAGCAAACUUGGACUUGCUCGUGCUGACUACUGAUUCUUGAUGACAAAGUGAAAACGGAUGCAAAGUUUUACAGCGAGUUUGUAACCUGUAAGGGGACUCUUUGUCCCUCCAGCAAGGCCCUUAAAAAGCAAGCUCUCAGAGGCUGGUUACUGGAUGCCAACGUGCGGGGCCAGAAAGACCAUCUAACAAAAGCGGUUUAAAAGAGACUUGACAACGGUGUUUUACCCAGAGCAAAGUGUGCCCAAACAUUUCAAACCAGAGCUGUCGACAAAGAAUGUGUUUGCAAACCAGACAGAAUUUAAAAUAAACUUGAGCCGGCAAAUGAUAAACCUUCCCUAAAAAGCUCCCUGCCUGCACUCAAAGCAGCUCAAAAUCCAGAAAAGGACAGUGGGUCACAGAUGGUGAGUGCUCCGGGGUGGGGACAAGGGGACACUCUAGUUUGGGCUCAAAGCAGAAAAGGGAAUCCUAAUGGUCAGAGAGAGGGGGCCAAGUGUACUAUUUCACUGUUUUCUCUCUCUUCCUUUCUGCUUCUCUAUGUCCCAGCCUCCAAGCAGUCCCAUGACUGCUUGGUAUAUAGGGCAAGGUGUAUAGUAACUGGUAUACAGAACCAGGGCCUGGGAUAUAGUACCAAGGUCAAGGAGUACUAGCGAUGAACACUGAUGCACGAAUGAUAUUUACUGAAUGAUAUUUUUUGGCUCAGGAUUGGCCGUCUCAGGUGUGGAUGAAUGAUGUGGAAGCCAGAAGAUGAGGUUAGAAAAGAAGGCUGUACUUCUAUCUGGAAAAGGCACCGUCAGAUCGAAACCAAGACAUCUAUCUCACGUCCAGUUUAAAGUACAUCCCAUCUCCGGGCGCCUGGGUGGCUCAGUCGGUUGAGCGUCCGACUUCGGCUCAAGUCAUGAUCUCGCGGUUUGUGAGUUCGAGCCCCACGUCGGGCUCUGUGCUGACAGCUCGGAGCCUGGAGCCUGCUUCGGAUUCUGUGUCUCCCUCUGGCUCUGCCCCUCCCCUGCUCAUGCUCUGUGUGUCUCUCUGUCUUUCAAUAAUAAAUAAACGUUAAAAAAGUUUUUUUAAGUACAUCCCAUCUCCAGCUCCAUCCCGAACUUCCAACUGCAGACAAGAGAUAGAAGUAAUUCAAUGGUCGCUCUGCAUUCUUUCUGCACUUGUCUCUCCCUCUGCUUCCCCCUGACCAUAUAUCCAAGGUAAGGAUGCCCAGGCUUAUCCUGGGUAGUGGUGAGAGAGCUUGUGGUGGGAGAAACAGUAAGUGGGCCAAAAGGUCUUAUUCAGCUGGUGCCGUUGUAAUCUGCCCUUGGUGAGCUCUGUGUGGUCAGUGCCCAAACACUGGGUCUUCCUCAAAGAAAGGGCUUUUGUGGGUUUGCUCUCUAGUUCCUCCUCAUUCCUCCAAAGCCACACUGAUAGAAUCCUCUUCUGCUGGGGCCACCUUCUCCUUAUAGGUCAUCUUCUUGGGCCAAAACUUUCAGGGCAACUCAAGCCAGAUCUCCCCUUCCACUGGUGUCUGCCAUAUGCAGGAAUUGAAAGCUGCCCCCAAGAACUUUCUCAAGGUCUCUCCAGUAGCAGCACGUGGCCACAUCUCAACUGAGCUGCAGGAGAGGGACAAUGGGAGAUGUCAAUUUCCCCUUACGGUUGCACCGUCUUCCAUGUUAGUGUUUUUCAAACUCCCAUCACUUGGCUUGAGUCACACGGGAAGGGAGGAGAAGCACAUAGCACCCUGCCCACUGGGCCAACUGUUUUCAUCCAUUUCUCUGUCACUUUCUCCUUUUCUUGAAUGUGGGCUGAAAAAGGAUGAUAGGCUAGGGUUUUUGAAGAUAUCUUUUAGUAAGCCUUAGUAUGUCUCUUUAGGAUACAUGAUACUGCUCGUUCACCUGGGGACCUCUCUAAGACCUGGAGCAUCUCUAUGUUCUGUCACACCAGACUUUUACAUCAUGGAAUACGUGUAAC